GGGAACACAGGAUGGCCGGGCAGUGAUAGUUGUACAUUUCCAUCACUCGUUGUGUUGAUUUCAUCAUGUCCAUUAGGUGAUGUUUUUACACUAUAGAAUCAUAUUGCAAGUGCGCGCGCAUUUGCAAUAUGUUUCAAUGUGCAUUUACCAUAUGAAAUUUGACAUGCUCAAAAAUGCAAAAUUGACUGGUCUGAUGGACACAGGAUGGCCGAGCAGUGAUAGUUGUACAUUUCCAUCACUCGUUGUGUUGAUUUCAUCAUGUCCAUUAGGUGAUGUUUUUUCACUAUAGAAUCAUAUUGCAAAUGCACGUGCAUUGUUGUGCAACUGGUAACCCAAAAAUAAAAAUAUGGUUGUAAAUGCAUUUACCGGUCAUUCUGAUAUUAAUGCUCGCUAUGGGAACACAGGAUGGCCGGGCAGUGAUAGUUGUACAUUUCCAUCACUCGUUGUGUUGAUUUCAUCAUGUCCAUUAGGUGAUGUUUUUACACUAUAGAAUCAUAUUGCAAGUGCGCGCGCAUUUGCAAUAUGUUUCAAUGUGCAUUUACCAUAUGAAAUUUGACAUGCUCAAAAAUGCAAAAUUGACUGGUCUGAUGGACACAGGAUGGCCGAGCAGUGAUAGUUGUACAUUUCCAUCACUCGUUGUGUUGAUUUCAUCAUGUCCAUUAGGUGAUGUUUUUUCACUAUAGAAUCAUAUUGCAAAUGCACGUGCAUUGUUGUGCAACUGGUAACCCAAAAAUAAAAAUAUGGUUGUAAAUGCAUUUACCGGUCAUUCUGAUAUUAAUGCUCGCUAUGGGAACACAGGAUGGCCGGGCAGUGAUAGUUGUACAUUUCCAUCACUCGUUGUGUUGAUUUCAUCAUGUCCAUUAGGUGAUGUUUUUACACUAUAGAAUCAUAUUGCAAGUGCGCGCGCAUUUGCAAUAUGUUUCAAUGUGCAUUUACCAUAUGAAAUUUGACAUGCUCAAAAAUGCAAAAUUGACUGGUCUGAUGGACACAGGAUGGCCGAGCAGUGAUAGUUGUACAUUUCCAUCACUCGUUGUGUUGAUUUCAUCAUGUCCAUUAGGUGAUGUUUUUACACUAUAGAAUCAUAUUGCAAGUGCGCGCGCAUUUGCAAUAUGUUUCAAUGUGCAUUUACCAUAUGAAAUUUGACAUGCUCAAAAAUGCAAAAUUGACUGGUCUGAUGGACACAGGAUGGCCGAGCAGUGAUAGUUGUACAUUUCCAUCACUCGUUGUGUUGAUUUCAUCAUGUCCAUUAGGUGAUGUUUUUUCACUAUAGAAUCAUAUUGCAAAUGCACGUGCAUUGUUGUGCAACUGGUAACCCAAAAAUAAAAAUAUGGUUGUAAAUGCAUUUACCGGUCAUUCUGAUAUUAAUGCUCGCUAUGGGAACACAGGAUGGCCGGGCAGUGAUAGUUGUACAUUUCCAUCACUCGUUGUGUUGAUUUCAUCAUGUCCAUUAGGUGAUGUUUUUACACUAUAGAAUCAUAUUGCAAGUGCGCGCGCAUUUGCAAUAUGUUUCAAUGUGCAUUUACCAUAUGAAAUUUGACAUGCUCAAAAAUGCAAAAUUGACUGGUCUGAUGGACACAGGAUGGCCGAGCAGUGAUAGUUGUACAUUUCCAUCACUCGUUGUGUUGAUUUCAUCAUGUCCAUUAGGUGAUGUUUUUUCACUAUAGAAUCAUAUUGCAAAUGCACGUGCAUUGUUGUGCAACUGGUAACCCAAAAAUAAAAAUAUGGUUGUAAAUGCA